rnacentral:rRNA from 1 species
UUAAGCGACUAAGCGUACACGGUGGAUGCCCUGGCAGUCAGAGGCGAUGAAGGGCGUGCUAAUCUGCGAUAAGCGCCGGUAAGGUGAUAUGAACCGUUAUAACCGGCGAUUUCCGAAUGGGGAAACCCAGUGUGAUUCGUCACACUAUCAUUAACUGAAUCCAUAGGUUAAUGAGGCGAACCGGGGGAACUGAAACAUCUAAGUACCCCGAGGAAAAGAAAUCAACCGAGAUUCCCCCAGUAGCGGCGAGCGAACGGGGAGGAGCCCAGAGCCUGAAUCAGCAUGUGUGUUAGUGGAAGCGUCUGGAAAGGCGCGCGAUACAGGGUGACAGCCCCGUACACAAAAGCGCAUGUGCUGUGAGCUCGAUGAGUAGGGCGGGACACGUGGUAUCCUGUCUGAAUAUGGGGGGACCAUCCUCCAAGGCUAAAUACUCCUGACUGACCGAUAGUGAACCAGUACCGUGAGGGAAAGGCGAAAAGAACCCCGGCGAGGGGAGUGAAAAAGAACCUGAAACCGUGUACGUACAAGCAGUGGGAGCCCCACCACCAAAGCAUUCUCUGGUGUUGAAGGCCCUGCAAAGCAGCAUCGCGGUGGCGGAGCGUCGUUUGCGACGCCCAACACACAAAACAAGCGGUGAGUGCUUUGGGGUGGGGUGACUGCGUACCUUUUGUAUAAUGGGUCAGCGACUUAUAUUCUGUAGCAAGGUUAACCGAAUAGGGGAGCCGCAGGGAAACCGAGUCUUAAUUGGGCGUUAAGUUGCAGGGUAUAGACCCGAAACCCGGUGAUCUAGCCAUGGGCAGGUUGAAGGUUGGGUAACACUAACUGGAGGACCGAACCGACUAAUGUUGAAAAAUUAGCGGAUGACCUGUGGCUGGGGGUGAAAGGCCAAUCAAACCGGGAGAUAGCUGGUUCUCCCCGAAAGCUAUUUAGGUAGCGCCUCGUGAAUUCAUCUCCGGGGGUAGAGCACUGUUUCGGCUAGGGGGCCAUCCCGGCUUACCAACCCGAUGCAAACUGCGAAUACCGGAGAAUGUUAUCACGGGAGACACACGGCGGGUGCUAACGUCCGUCGUGAAGAGGGAAACAACCCAGACCGCCAGCUAAGGUCCCAAAGUCAUGGUUAAGUGGGAAACGAUGUGGGAAGGCCCAGACAGCCAGGAUGUUGGCUUAGAAGCAGCCAUCAUUUAAAGAAAGCGUAAUAGCUCACUGGUCGAGUCGGCCUGCGCGGAAGAUGUAACGGGGCUAAACCAUGCACCGAAGCUGCGGCAGCGACACUCAGGUGUUGUUGGGUAGGGGAGCGUUCUGUAAGCCUGCGAAGGUGGCCUGUGAGGGUUGCUGGAGGUAUCAGAAGUGCGAAUGCUGACAUAAGUAACGAUAAAGCGGGUGAAAAGCCCGCUCGCCGGAAGACCAAGGGUUCCUGUCCAACGUUAAUCGGGGCAGGGUGAGUCGACCCCUAAGGCGAGGCCGAAAGGCGUAGUCGAUGGGAAACGGGUUAAUAUUCCCGUACUUGGUGUUACUGCGAAGGGGGGACGGAGAAGGCUAUGUUGGCCGGGCGACGGUUGUCCCGGUUUAAGCGUGUAGGUGUGUGUUCCAGGUAAAUCCGGUUCACUUUAACACUGAGGCGUGAUGACGAGGCACUACGGUGCUGAAGCAACAAAUGCCCUGCUUCCAGGAAAAGCCUCUAAGCAUCAGGUAACAUCAAAUCGUACCCCAAACCGACACAGGUGGUCAGGUAGAGAAUACCAAGGCGCUUGAGAGAACUCGGGUGAAGGAACUAGGCAAAAUGGUGCCGUAACUUCGGGAGAAGGCACGCUGACACGUAGGUGAAGUGAUUUACUCAUGGAGCUGAAGUCAGUCGAAGAUACCAGCUGGCUGCAACUGUUUAUUAAAAACACAGCACUGUGCAAACACGAAAGUGGACGUAUACGGUGUGACGCCUGCCCGGUGCCGGAAGGUUAAUUGAUGGGGUCAGCGCAAGCGAAGCUCCUGAUCGAAGCCCCGGUAAACGGCGGCCGUAACUAUAACGGUCCUAAGGUAGCGAAAUUCCUUGUCGGGUAAGUUCCGACCUGCACGAAUGGCGUAAUGAUGGCCAGGCUGUCUCCACCCGAGACUCAGUGAAAUUGAACUCGCUGUGAAGAUGCAGUGUACCCGCGGCAAGACGGAAAGACCCCGUGAACCUUUACUAUAGCUUGACACUGAACAUUGAGCCUUGAUGUGUAGGAUAGGUGGGAGGCUUUGAAGUGUGGACGCCAGUCUGCAUGGAGCCGACCUUGAAAUACCACCCUUUAAUGUUUGAUGUUCUAACGUGGACCCGUAAUCCGGGUUGCGGACAGUGUCUGGUGGGUAGUUUGACUGGGGCGGUCUCCUCCUAAAGAGUAACGGAGGAGCACGAAGGUUGGCUAAUCCUGGUCGGACAUCAGGAGGUUAGUGCAAUGGCAUAAGCCAGCUUGACUGCGAGCGUGACGGCGCGAGCAGGUGCGAAAGCAGGUCAUAGUGAUCCGGUGGUUCUGAAUGGAAGGGCCAUCGCUCAACGGAUAAAAGGUACUCCGGGGAUAACAGGCUGAUACCGCCCAAGAGUUCAUAUCGACGGCGGUGUUUGGCACCUCGAUGUCGGCUCAUCACAUCCUGGGGCUGAAGUAGGUCCCAAGGGUAUGGCUGUUCGCCAUUUAAAGUGGUACGCGAGCUGGGUUUAGAACGUCGUGAGACAGUUCGGUCCCUAUCUGCCGUGGGCGCUGGAGAACUGAGGGGGGCUGCUCCUAGUACGAGAGGACCGGAGUGGACGCAUCACUGGUGUUCGGGUUGUCAUGCCAAUGGCACUGCCCGGUAGCUAAAUGCGGAAGAGAUAAGUGCUGAAAGCAUCUAAGCACGAAACUUGCCCCGAGAUGAGUUCUCCCUGAGACUUUAAGUCUCCUGAAGGAACGUUGAAGACGACGACGUUGAUAGGCCGGGUGUGUAAGCGCAGCGAUGCGUUGAGCUAACCGGUACUAAUGAACCGUGAGGCUUAACCUU